rnacentral:rRNA from 1 species
AUGCAGUCGAGCGGUACAGCAAGAGCUUGCUUUUGUUUGAGAGGUCGCGGGACGGGUGANNAAUAACGUAGGAAUCAUCUGNUAGUGGGGGGACUACAUGCCGAAAAAACAUGGCUAAUAACCGCCUCCGUCCUACGUGGGAAAGCGGUGGAUAUUCGGUCCUCGCGCUAUCAGAUGAGCAGGCGUCGGAUUAGCUAGUUGGUGAGGUAAUGGCUUAUCAACGACGACUAUCCGUAGUUGGUUUCAGAGACGACCAUCCCCAUUGGGAGUGAGACGCGGCGCAGACUCCUACGGGAGGCAGCAGUGGGGAAUAUUGGACAAUGGGGGCAAUCCUGAUCCAGCAAUACCGCGUGUGUGAAGAAGGCCCGAGGGUUGUAAAGCACUUUCAGUAGAGAAGAAAAGCCUAAGGUUAAUAACCUUGGGUCUUGACGUAACCUACAGAAGAAGCACCGGCUAACUCCGUGCCAGCAGCCGCGGUAAUACGGAGGGUGCAAGCGUUAAUGGGAAUUACUGGGCGUAAAGUGUAUGCAGGGUGUCAGGUCACUCAGAUGUAAAAGCCCCGGUCUUAACCUGGGAAGCCCAUUUGAUACUGCUUGACUAGAAUCUGGUAGAGGGUAGUGGAAUUCCAUGUGUAGCGGUGAAAUGUGUAGAUAUCUGGAGGAACAUCAGUGGAGAAGGCGGCUACCUGGACCAAGAUUGACGGUGAGGUAAGAAAGCGUGGGGAGCGAACAGGAUUAGAUCCCCUGGUUGUCCACGCUGUAAACGAUG